CAUUUCUUGCUGGGAGGGGGAGGGGAGAGAGAUGAGACGUUUUCUCUCUGUUUCUUUCCUCUCCAUUUUCUGCUCCUUCCUUCAAUUCCAGAAACCUCCCUUGUGUUUCAGACUGUGCAGUGAUGCCCUCCCUGCCCCAGGCCUCUGGAGCCUUUGGAGCAGAAAGAUCCCAGGAGCUGAGGAGGAAUCCAGGGAUGCAUUCAAAUGGCAGCUGUUUACAGGUCAUGGGCUGCUAGUUCCUGAGCAGGAGCAGAGUCUCUGAUGGCAGGUGAACUGUACAGAGGCACCUCUGGGUUUGCACUGACUAAGGACAACAGCUGUGAGUGGGGUGCAGAGAGGGGAUGGCUCAUGUUAAAGGACUUUUGGUUGCUGGACUUACAAAUCGUAGGGAGAAGGACACUGGCCAGCUUAUUUGGGGGUGGAUCUUUUCCUCAUGGUUUAUAUUUAUGUGUUGGGGCUGCUGACAUGACCUCUGCUAACCCUGGGCUUACGUUGCAAUGUAGACAUACCCUGAGAGGGCAUCUGUACUGUGACAAAAUCCCUGUGGCCUGUCUGGCCUGGAUGAUCUGAUUUGGAUUUCUGGGGCUCAGACUGGAGCCUAGACUCGGAGACCCUCACCCCUCGUGGGGUCUCGGAGGCUUGGCUCAAACCCAAGGGUCUACACUGUAAUUUUAUAACCCUGCAGCACAAGCCCCACAAGCCUCAAUCAGCUGACCCAGUGUUUGAGAAUAGUGACUUAGGUGUGUUAAUGGCAGUGUAGACAUAAUGCUAGGCUAUGUCCACACUGCAGUGAAACACCCA